rnacentral:rRNA from 1 species
AACGAACGCUGGCGGCAUGCCUAACACAUGCAAGUCGAACGAGACCUUCGGGUCUAGUGGCGCACGGGUGCGUAACGCGUGGGAACCUGCCCUUAGGUUCGGAAUAACUCCCCGAAAGGGGUGCUAAUACCGGAUAAUGUCUUCGGCCCAAAGAUUUAUCGCCCUUGGAUGGGCCCGCGUUGGAUUAGCUAGUUGGUAGGGUAAAAGCCUACCAAGGCGUCGAUCCAUAGCUGGUCUGAGAGGAUGAUCAGCCACACUGGGACUGAGACACGGCCCAGACUCCUACGGGAGGCAGCAGUGGGGAAUAUUGGACAAUGGGCGAAAGCCUGAUCCAGCAAUGCCGCGUGAGUGAUGAAGGUCUUAGGGUUGUAAAGCUCUUUUACCCGGGAUGAUAAUGACAGUACCGGGAGAAUAAGCUCCGGCUAACUCCGUG